UGGGGAAUAUUGGACAAUGGGGGGAACCCUGAUCCAGCCAUGCCGCGUGUGUGAAGAAGGCCUUAUGGUUGUAAAGCACUUUAAGCGAGGAGGAGGCUCUUUUGGUUAAUACCCAAGAUGAGUGGACGUUACUCGCAGAAUAAGCACCGGCUAACUCUGUGCCAGCAGCCGCGGUAAUACAGAGGGUGCGAGCGUUAAUCGGAUUUACUGGGCGUAAAGCGUGCGUAGGCGGCUUUUUAAGUCGGAUGUGAAAUCCCCGAGCUUAACUUGGGAAUUGCAUUCGAUACUGGGAAGCUAGAGUAUGGGAGAGGAUGGUAGAAUUCCAGGUGUAGCGGUGAAAUGCGUAGAGAUCUGGAGGAAUACCGAUGGCGAAGGCAGCCAUCUGGCCUAAUACUGACGCUGAGGUACGAAAGCAUGGGGAGCAAACAGG
rnacentral:rRNA from 1 species